rnacentral:tRNA from 1 species
GCUGAAAUAGCUCAGUUGGGAGAGUGUUAGACUGAAGCUCCAGAGGUCUAAAGGUGGCUCGUUCAAUCCUUAGUUUCAGCA